rnacentral:rRNA from 1 species
UACGAAGGGGGCUAGCGUUGCUCGGAAUCACUGGGCUUACAGGGUGCGUAGGCGGCUCAACAAGUCAGGUGUGAAAGCCCCCGGCUCAACCGGGGAACUGCGCUUGAAACUGUUAGGCUCGAGUCAGCUAGAGGUACACGGAACUUCCAGUGGAGCGGUGAAAUGUGUUGAUAUUGGAAGGAACACCGGAGGCGAAAGCGGUGUACUGGGGCUGGUCUGACGCUGAGGCACGAAAGCCAGGGGAGCGAACGGG